GACGAACGCUGGCGGCGUGCUUAACACAUGCAAGUCGAGCGGUAAGGCCCUUUCGGGGGUACACGAGCGGCGAACGGGUGAGUAACACGUGGGUGACCUGCCUUUAGCUCUGGGAUAAGCCUAGGAAACCGGGUCUAAUACCGGAUAUGACUCCGCGGCGCAUGUUGUGGGGUGGAAAGCCUUGUGCGGCUGGAGAUGGGCCCGCGGCCUAUCAGCUUGUUGGUGGGGUGAUGGCCUACCAAGGCGACGACGGGUAGCCGGCCUGAGAGGGCGACCGGCCACACUGGGACUGAGACACGGCCCAGACUCCUACGGGAGGCAGCAGUGGGGAAUCUUGCGCAAUGGGCGAAAGCCUGACGCAGCGACGCCGCGUGAGGGAUGACGGCCUU
rnacentral:rRNA from 1 species